GAUGAACGCUGGCGGCGUGCCUAAUACAUGCAAGUCGAGCGAACAGACGAGGAGCUUGCUCCUCUGACGUUAGCGGCGGACGGGGGAGUAACACGUGUAUAACCUACCUAUAAGACUGGGAUAACUUCGGGAAACCGGAGCUAAUACCGGAGAAUAUAUUGAACCGCAGGGUUCGAUAGUGAGAGACGGUUUUGCGGGCACGUCUAGAUGGAUCCGCGCCGCAUUGGCUAGUUGGUAAGGUAAAGGCUUACCAAGGGGACGAUGCGUAGCCGACCCGAGGGCGGGUUGGCCGCCCCUGGAACUGAGCCGCGACCCAGGCUCUUACGUGCGGCAGCAGCAGGGACGCUUGCGCACUGGGCGAAAGACUGCCGGAGGAGCGCAGCGUGGGUGAUGCAGGUCUUCGGAUCGUAAAACUCUGUUCUUAGGGAAGAACAAAUGUGUAAGUAACUAUGCGUGUCUUGCCGGUACCUAAUCAGAAGGCCCCGCCUACCUCCGG
rnacentral:rRNA from 1 species